rnacentral:rRNA from 1 species
GACAGAGGUGCCAAGCGUUAGGCGGAAUCACUGGGCUUAAAGCGUGUGUAGGUGGAUCGUUAAGUACCUUGUGAAAUCCCACGGCUUAACCGUGGAACUGCUCGGUAUACUGGCGGUCUUGAGCCAACUAGGGGCUAUCGGAACAAGUGGUGGAGCGGUGAAAUGCGUAGAUAUCGUAAGGAAGACCAGUGGCGAAGGCGGGUCUCUGGACAGUUCCUGACGCUGAGGCACGAAGGCCAGGGGAGCAAACGGG